rnacentral:rRNA from 1 species
AGUGAACGCUGGCGGUAGGCCUAACACAUGCAAGUCGAACGGCAGCACAGUAAGAGCUUGCUCUUACGGGUGGCGAGUGGCGGACGGGUGAGGAAUACAUCGGAAUCUACUUUUUCGUGGGGGAUAACGUAGGGAAACUUACGCUAAUACCGCAUACGACCUACGGGUGAAAGCAGGGGAUCUUCGGACCUUGCGCGAUUGAAUGAGCCGAUGUCGGAUUAGCUAGUUGGCGGGGUAAAGGCCCACCAAGGCGACGAUCCGUAGCUGGUCUGAGAGGAUGAUCAGCCACACUGGAACUGAGACACGGUCCAGACUCCUAGGGGAGGCCGCAGUGGGGAAUAUUGGGCAAUGGGCGCAAGCCUGAUCCAGCCAUACCGCGUGGGUGAAGAAGGCCUUCGGGUUGUAAAGCCCUUUUGUUGGGAAAGAAAAGCAGCAGGUUAAUACCCCGCUGUUCUGACGGUACCCAAAGAAUAAGCACCGGCUAACUUCGUG